AAAUUAUAUUUACAGGUGUCCGUAUUUAGCUAGAUGUGGGUGCCUAUAUUUACAAAGAUGGCUUGAAACAAAAGCGGUUUAGAAAUUGGUUGCUGCUGAAACGCUACAUUAAGAAAUUGUGGGCGGCUCGUCGUUACGGCUUGGUCAAAAAAGCCUUCGAAUUCAAGUUCAUAAUGAUUUUUUAUUGAAAAACAUUUUUGAAGAUUUAAAAGUAUCAACGAAGUUCUAAUGACACUUUAAGAAGCACUAUUUAAUGUUUUUCUUAAAAGCUUUUAAAAUGUAUUUUCAUCAAAAAUAUUGUCAUCAUGAGUUUCAAAUAAGUGGAAUUAGAAUGUAAAAUUUAUAAUAGAAUCAGUGUAAAUAUUUAAAGUUUUAUGAAACAUUCAUGUUCAAAGGAUAUUGCACAUUAUAUAAUUGUCUUGUAGUCUUUUUUAACACUGUAAUUAAUGAAAAUAAUGUAUAGACUGUUUAACUAAUAUUGUGUUAGAUGACGUUUCACUCUCUAGUUUGUGUAACAUAACGUUCGUCUAAAAUAUUUCGCUCCUGUCGACUGCUUUGCAAAAAGUAUAAUAUUUAAUUUCAAAUGUUAUUAAUAUUACCUGAACUUUGUAGAAUUUUCCAAAAAACAAGAAAAACCGAAUUUAUCCCUUAACAAAUUAGAGAGGUAAAGAUUGCUACCUUCACUAAUAAAUACCAUUUACAUAUUGUUAAAAAGCAAUAAUUAAUAAAUAUGACCGAACUUAACUGUUAAAAAAAUUCAAACAAUAUUUAAUUAUAACUAAGAAUUACGAAGAUUAAUGUUUCGUUACAGAGAGCACCGAGGAAAUAUUGCAGAUGUCGAUUCGAUUUUAAAGAUUGGACGAUAAAAGUGUAUACUUAAGUAAAGUAAUUUUUGGUAAUAUACGUAGUUGUGAAAA